GGCUGAUCACACCCUGAAUCCAUGGUCCCAGGUACCCUCUGAUCCUUCUCUUCUUUCUUUCUAGGAGAAGCCUGCUCUGCCUUGACCACUCUGCCAUUUUACCAGAAGUCAAAUUGGCUGGGACUAGAGUGAGUUGAGAGAGACAUUGAAAACUCAGUAAUCAAGUUUGGAUAACUUCUACUGAGCAAUCUACGCUGAUUCUUUCCAUGGCUGAGCUGAGGUUCCAGAUGAGCCCAUAGAAGACAUUUUUCUUCUCUGUCAUGUUGAGGAAGGGAGAAGGAGUUGUUUGAUGUUUCCUACAUUUUUGCUUUCUUGUUGCUGUUUCCACCUUUCCUACUAAAGCCUUUAACAAAAUUUAUAGUUAAUUUCCCUGCUGGGUGGUUCUAAAAUUUGGGUUUGGGA